rnacentral:rRNA from 1 species
UACGUAGGGUGCAAGCGUUGUCCGGAAUUAUUGGGCGUAAAGGCUCGUAGGCGGUCCAUCACGUCGGGAGUGAAAAGCUGGGGCUUAACCCCAGUCCUGCUUCCGAUACGGGUGGACUAGAGGUAGGCAGGGGAGAGCGGAAUUCCUGGUGUAGCGGUGAAAUGCGCAGAUAUCAGGAGGAACACCGGUGGCGAAGGCGGCUCACUGGCCCGAUAUUGACGCUGAGGAGCGAAAGCGUGGGGAGCAAACAGG